UGUAUGAAUUGUCAACAAUAAAAAAUUACCCAUAAAGUUACAUACGUGGUAACUCUUAAGCGACACACGAAGUGUAUGAAACAGCCACGCGCGGGGUAAACCGGGACGUGCAGUGACGGCAACAAUACAUUACGUAAGGUUUCGUUUUCCAUUGAAUGAAAGGCAACAACAACGCCACGCUACAGAAAAUAUUAAGAACAGCAAGCAUAACAGGGCUCGCCUGCCUCCCCACACAGCACUUGGAGGGCUUAAGGUGGCUGUACACAGUAUCCGGCGUGCGAAUUCGCUUGCGAUUCGGCGAAACAUUUUGUCCGAUAUCUAUGUACACAGUAUCCGGUGCGGGGAAAACAAAGCGUCUGCGGAAAAUCACUUUUUCCAAGUUUGUAUGGAUAUCUCAGCAAAUUGGUAUCGCGUGUGUUUGUGACCAAGUUUAAGAAAUUUAAUUAUGAAUCCAGCACUUAGUAUAGGCCUAGUAGCGCUUUUAAAUUAAUUUCAGUAUUUACUAAUACCAUGCUGAUGCAAAACGUAUUUAACACACCAAAUACACAUAAUUCUGGUGAAUAAUAUAUAUAAUAGCCCAAUUUAUGUAUUUCUUUGCCUAAUUGCCAAAACCGAAAUUGUCACGCAAUAACAAACCGCAAAACAAAAGUAGAGCAUGAGCUUCCUCGAUUCGAACGGCAAAAAUCCGGUCCGGAAUCUCUAAUCGUGCGGAAUCCGGAUACUGUGUACAUUAUAUUUUUUUCGCGCCGUGUCCGAAUUCCGCAUGCGGCAGCGAAAUCCGGACAAAACAGACAAAACGGACGAAUUCCGGAUACUGUGUACAGCCACCUUUAUACAGCGAGAAACUUGAGCGCGAAUACAAAAGCGAGAAGAAUUUUUUUACACCAAGGCAGAGUUUCAGCAUUGUAGUACUAGGAAAAGUUUCUCAGCAUUGUAAUACUAGUAAAAGUUUCUCAGCAUUGUAAUACUAGGAAAAGUUUCUCAGCAUUGUAAUACUAGGAAAAGUUUCUCAGCAUUGUAAUACUAGGAAAAGUUUCUCAGCAUUGUAAUACUAGGAAAAGUUUCUCAGCAUUGUAAUACUAGGAAAAGUUUCUCAGCAUUGUAAUACUAGGAAAAGUUUCUCAGCAUUAUAAUACUAGGGAAAGUUUCUCAGCAUUAUAAUACUAGGGAAAGUUUCUCAGCAUUAUAAUACUAGGCUGUCAUAUAUACAUGGGCUGUCAUGUUUGUAUUCAAUGUAACAAUAUAAUCCUGGAGCUCUUUGAAAAUGAAGAUCAUGCUAUUUAAAGAACGAAGAGAAGGGAAUCAACAGCAAAACAACAGUUGUUAAAACACCCUAUGAAUAAAAGUGUGGGAAAGGGUGUCAGUUAAAAAGCGUGGCUAAUAAUUGCACCCAAUAUUCAGGGUAUGAAACAAGCUGUUGUUCUGAAUGUAUAAACAAAAGCAUGGACUUGCACACAAAGUUAAAGAUGAAUGUUCGCUUACCCUUCUCGGCGUUUUUCUUUUGGUUCCAUGACCAAUAGCUGGGCGCCCCCAAUGGUUUACCCGCCAACGAAAUAUCAGUGAGGAGUCCGAUGACAAGCAAGAGGAGAAGCACUGACUUAUUCAUCUGCA